rnacentral:rRNA from 1 species
AUUGAACGCUGGCGGCAGGCCUAACACAUGCAAGUCGAGCGGAUGAAGGGAGCUUGCUCCUGGAUUCAGCGGCGGACGGGUGAGUAAUGCCUAGGAAUCUGCCUGGUAGUGGGGGAUAACGUCCGGAAACGGGCGCUAAUACCGCAUACGUCCUGAGGGAGAAAGUGGGGGAUCUUCGGACCUCACGCUAUCAGAUGAGCCUAGGUCGGAUUAGCUAGUUGGUGGGGUAAAGGCCUACCAAGGCGACGAUCCGUAACUGGUCUGAGAGGAUGAUCAGUCACACUGGAACUGAGACACGGUCCAGACUCCUACGGGAGGCAGCAGUGGGGAAUAUUGGACAAUGGGCGAAAGCCUGAUCCAGCCACGCCGCGUGUGUGAAGAAGGUCUUCGGAUCGUAAAGCACUUUAAGUUGGGAGGAAGGGCAGUAAGUUAAUACCUUGCUGUUUUGACGUUACCAACAGAAUAAGCACCGGCUAACUUCGUG